AGGCUUUUUCAACAAAUACAAAUUUCCCAAUGUGCUGGGCGCGAUUGACUGUACCCACGUGCAGAUCAGACCGCCACGGAAUUCAGAGGAAUGUUUUCGGAACCGAAAACAGUUCCAUUCCCUGAACGUGCAGGCGGUCUGUGAUGUAAACAUGAGAUUUUUGAACAUUUUUGUGGGAUUUCCUGGAUCAUCUCACGACUCCUUCAUCCUAAGCCAGUCAUCGCUGUUUGACAAGUUUGAAACAGGAAACAUGCCUGGUGGCUGGCUGUUAGGCGAUGCGGGUUAUCCAAACAAACCGUGGCUGUUGACCCCAUUGUCUAAUCCUGUUGGUAGAGCAGAAAAACGUUACCAAGAGACACACAUUGCAUCGAGGGGAGUAAUUGAGCGUGCCUUCGGUGUACUUAAAAGCCGGUUUCGAUGUUUAGACACUUCCGGCGGUGCUCUUUUGUACUCACCGUCGAAGGUUUGCGGCAUGGUAAAUGCAUGUUGUAUUUUACACAACAUAUGUGUCGCAAACCGUUUGCCGGUGACUCUUCGUCGCAGUGCUUUCCGACGCGGGAACCGUUCUUCUGCUCUACCGGUGGGUAUGGACGAAGGAGAGGAUUCCCGGCGGACAUUGAUCCAAAAUUAUUUUGCAGUUGCCUAGUUUUACAUCCUGUUGAUGUAUAUCCCCAGGCCAUGUUUGUACAGUUCGUUACCCCGUUUUAUCCUGUUGUUGGGUUCCCGCAAAUAUUUGAUCCUUUUAUCCAACUCUACCAUGGGUGAACCUACUGGUGAUGUGGACCUGACCCUCCGCCAUGUAGCAGACAACCCCCCCUCAGGUGAGAUGUAUUGCCCAAAACUCCC